rnacentral:rRNA from 1 species
GCUUGGCCCUAAAUCUAGAUGUUCCCUCUACCAAAACAUCCGCCCGAGAACUACGAGCACAAACGCUUAAAACUCUAAGGACUUGGCGGUGCUCCAAACCCACCUAGAGGAGCCUGUUCUGUAAUCGGUAACCCACGAUGCACCCAACCCCUCCUUGCCCGAAGCAGCCUACAUACCGCCGUCCCCAGCUCACCUUCCCUGAGAGCCCACAGUGAGCACAACAACACCGCUAGUAAGACAGGUCAAGGUAUAGCCCAUGGAGAGGAAGAAAUGGGCUACAUUUUCUAAAAUAGGAAACGAAAAGGGGCUUGAAAUAGCCCCUAGAAGGAGGAUUUAGCAGUAAAGGGGGGUGAGAAUACCCCCUUAAACUUGGCCCUGGAG